UCCCAGCGGUCCAAGUCGCAACCACAUUUGUUGGGUCUAAAACAUUCGUAGCUUGCUUAGUAAGUCGCUUGUGAAAUCCCCUCUCAUGAGGAGGGAAGUGCACGCGAUACUGCUGAGCUCGAGACCGGGAGACGCAUUGAGUACCCACAGAGUACCGGUAAAAUGGGUUGAUCCUGUGGGGACUAACACUAGCGAAGGCAUGAUGCGAGCACGGAUCUGACAGUGAGGAAUGAAGGCUAGGGGCGCAAAA
rnacentral:rRNA from 1 species